rnacentral:rRNA from 1 species
UACGUAGGGUGCUAGCGUUGUCCGGAUUUAUUGGGCGUAAAGAGCUCGUAGGCGGCUUGUUGCGUCGACUGUGAAAACCCGCGGCUUAACCGCGGGCUUGCAGUUGAUACGGGCAGGCUAGAGUUCGGUAGGGGAGACUGGAAUUCCUGGUGUAGCGGUGAAAUGCGCAGAUAUCAGGAGGAACACCGGUGGCGAAGGCGGGUCUCUGGGCCGAUACUGACGCUGAGGAGCGAAAGCGUGGGGAGCGAACAGG